ACGAGAACAUAAGAGUUCUAUGUCAUCCGGAUCAUUUCUAUAGUAGUGUCUAUCUAUGGUAACUUGGUCUCAUCAUGAGAAACUGGUUAGCGCAGCAGGCGGCCUCGCUUUCCAUUUUCUUUUAAAAAAUCAAAAUAUGAACCUCUAGUUUCCGACAUGCUAAUGAGAGGGUUAGUUGAUGAGCAAGGGAGCUUGAAUGUAACAACGUGCACCCUACCAUGAAGUCGUGUGAUCGAGAAUGGUGGGAGACACAGGAACGACGUAACCAAGUUGUUUCAUCAGAUGAAACGGGACAGGUUGGUCCUCGUGUCGCAUGUCGCUGCCAGGUCAACUUUAUUAGAUCCCUAACAUAUGUACAUUAAUAUUUGUAUACCAUUGAUAUGUUUUAAAAUUUAAUAAUUUGGUUAUAAUUCUUCAUAGGUUAUAAGGAGUGUGAGUCUGUGGUUAGUUGAAUUGUAUUAACUUAUGUCCACUAACAAUCAGAAUAUCACAGUCGAACUUACUUUUACUAUGAUACUUCUCUUCCAAAAGCAAGUUAUGAGAUGAUUAGCUUUGGUCUGGUUCGUUUUGCAUUUGUGGCUCCUACAAUUUUAAUCAUUGUAUUGAAAAAACACUAAACUUUCGUUGUUUCAAUUUCAGGUAUUUGUGGCCAGUGCGAACUGACCCAUUUUGGCCUGAUUUUUCUCGAUAUAUAUAUGUUAUGACCCGUAUCAGUUUUUGGUGUUAGGUUUAGUUAUGUUUGAAUUAGUUGGAUUUUUAUCGUGUUGCAUUCGGUUAUGUUUGGAUGAUUUGGAUCUUUAGUAUGACUUUUUAAUAUUUAUUGUUAUGUUUGAAUUAUUAUGUUA